UGGGGAAUAUUGCACAAUGGGGGAAACCCUGAUGCAGCGACGCCGCGUGAAGGAAGAAGUAUCUCGGUAUGUAAACUUCUAUCAGCAGGGAAGAAAAUGACGGUACCUGA
rnacentral:rRNA from 1 species